rnacentral:hammerhead_ribozyme from 1 species
UCACUACUGAAGAGUCCCAUAAUAGGACGAAACGGCCGUCCAGUGC